AGCCAUCCUUCCCUUCCAAUUAAAAGCAUUAUUACUAUAAUUUACCGUUGCCUUCAUUCUUGGUUUUGUACCUAAGCUUAAAGUGAAAAGUGAUUAUCUUGCAAAUCGAUUACUUAAUAAUCUGAAAAUGAUCUAUAUAUAUUAAUUAGAUUUUUGAAAUUAGAACAACUGUUUUCACUAAUUUUCGCAAGAUUUAGUGAUUUUUAUUAACUACAAAAUGUGCAAGGCAGCACCUUGUUGGAUGGAUCCUUGCCUUCAACAAAUUCUCUCACACGACGGAUCCUUGCCUUCAGAUUGUAGUAAUUGCCGUACAAGUUAACACUUUUGUGUGGAAUUGGUGCAACUUUUGGGGUUUGUGCGAUGUUAUUUUGCUUAGUUGUUGGCUAAAAUUUGGUUCUUUUGAUUUGGGUCUGGUGAAAUUGUUUCAACGGUGGGCGGGAUUGGUGUUCAGGGAUGUUAUGGUUGUGUGAGGUUUUGAUACGGUUGUCAUAAAUGGAGGAUGUUAUUGAAGUUAAUGAACAUGCUUAUCUUUGUAGGCUUGACUUCUGAACACAAAGCCUACUCUUUUCAAUUGUUGGAAAGGUUUCUUAAUUUUUAUUUCUAUUUGUAUGUGUUGAAUUUUGGGUUAUUUUGCUGAUGUUAUUCAAUUGAAUGAAAAUUUGAUGUUUUUUAACCUUUUGGUUUUGUAGGAUUUUCGCUAAUAGGCAAUUGGCUGCGAGGUAGAAGGAGAGGAAGGUGAGGUAUACGGAUGAGCUGGAGAGGAAGGUGCAGACACUUCAGACCAAGGCAACCACCCUAUCAGCACAGGUCACUCUAUAAUAGGCUUGACUUCUAAAAACGUAUCUUGCAAAGCUACGCUUCACAAAUUUACAAUGCCUAUCAAGUGCAGCACAUACAUUUGUGUUGUAUAAUUGUAUUCAAUAAGGAUAAUACUAUCACUGCACCUUAUUCCUUGACACUUUGGGCCUUCUUGAGUCUUCGUUGGAGUAGUGCAAAUCAGUUUUCCGACUCGAUAUCAUGGUCUUCAGUAGCUCGACUGGGCUUUAUGAGUAUGAUCAUGAUGCGUCAAAAGCUACGGAGCUUGAAGUGUCAAUGAGAAUUAAAGUGAUAAUACGUAAAAAGUUCUCAGAGGUGGUUACAGUGGAGACCAAUAUUCAGAAUACAGUGGACAAGUCUUUACAAGCUAAUCCUAGUGGUAAUGGAAACCAUAUCCUUUGUCUCUCUGCUUACUUGCUUUUUAACAUGGAGAGAAAUUUAAUCUGUAUUUCAGAAUUAGUGCUCUUCUUGAUGUCCAACUAUAGGGAAAUGGUUCUUGAAAUUGUAUUUUGGAAUUAGUGAUCUUGAUUGGUUGAUUCAGAACAAAAGAACUAAUUUCCUUCCUACA